GCUGUAAAAAUACCUAUAUAGCCAGAUGAGAUAAUUCUGUUCUAGAUCCCAUUUUAAUUAUGUUAAUUUCACGGAAUCGUGUUUCUCUAACAAACAUUUUAUGUAUUUUGAAUCUGUAUGUGAACAAGGUCACCGCGGAUUAUUGUGAAUUCGGAACUUGUAAUGAAGAUCAAUACUGUUGUGGAGAAAACAAGUGCUGUCAAAAAACAGUUGAGGUUUGGUAUUUUUGGGCAAAAGUCUUCCUUUUGAUGGUCAUCACUGUCUUCAUCAUUCUGUAUAUACUCCUUAGAGUGAAGCACCUAUGGAAAUAUAAUUCAUACAAAAAACUCUCUGUUGAAGAAAUGACCACACCAGUUUCUUAGAUAAGAAAGUUUCUGAGUUCAAAUUAUCUACAUCGACAUCUUUUGAAUCUUAGACAAUAUUGUAUUGUGCUUUCAUUAAUCUACACACUUCAUAUUCUAAAAUGGAAUAUCUGAUUUUCAGGAAUUAGUUAUAUGCCAACCAACUGGGAAACCUUUUCCUACAAUGAUGCUCUAGUCUAGACUAUUAGCACAUUUCAUGUCAAUGACCAAAACCACUUGCUAAAAAUUUGGUUUUUUCAUUCAUGUUAAUUUUACAGAUGAAAAUGUUUGUAAAUAAAAUAGUUUCAAUGUACUGUUGGAUAUACUUUCUCAUGUGUGAAUAUGUACUUACAUAAUUAUAGUUAUAAAUGAAUGAAUAAAGUUAUUUUUGUGCA
rnacentral:lncRNA from 1 species